UACGGAGGGUACGAGCGUUAUCCGGAAUUACUGGGUUUAAAGGGUGCGUAGGCGGCGCUGUAAGUCAGGAGUGAAAGUUUGCAGCUCAACCGUAAAAUUGCUUUUGAUACUGCGGUGCUGGAAUUAGGAUGAGGUCAGCGGAAUGUGGCAUGUAGCGGUGAAAUGCAUAGAUAUGCCAUAGAACACCAAUUGCGAAGGCAGCUGGCUAGACCUGGAUUGACGCUGAGGCACGAAAGCGUGGGGAGCGAACAGG
rnacentral:rRNA from 1 species